rnacentral:rRNA from 1 species
GGGUUGUGAGGUUAAGCGACUAAGCGUACACGGUGGAUGCCCUGGCAGUCAGAGGCGAUGAAGGACGUGCUAAUCUGCGAUAAGCGUCGGUAAGGUGAUAUGAACCGUUAUAACCGGCGAUUUCCGAAUGGGGAAACCCAGUGUGUUUCGACACACUAUCGUUAAGUGAAUACAUAGCUUAACGAAGCGAACCGGGGGAACUGAAACAUCUAAGUACCCCGAGGAAAAGAAAUCAACCGAGAUUCCCCCAGUAGCGGCGAGCGAACGGGGAGCAGCCCAGAACCUGAAUCAGUUUGUGUGUUAGUGGAAGCGUCUGGAAAGUCGCAGGGUACAGGGUGAUACUCCCGUACACUAAAAUGCACAGGCUGUGAGUUCGAAGAGUAGGGCGGGACACGUGGUAUCCUGUCUGAAUAUGGGGGGACCAUCCUCCAAGGCUAAAUACUCCUGACUGACCGAUAGUGAACCAGUACCGUGAGGGAAAGGCGAAAAGAACCCCGGCGAGGGGAGUGAAAAAGAACCUGAAACCGUGUACGUACAAGCAGUGGGAGCCUACUUGUUAGGUGACUGCGUACCUUUUGUAUAAUGGGUCAGCGACUUAUAUUCUGUAGCAAGGUUAACCGAAUAGGGGAGCCGCAGGGAAACCGAGUCUUAACUGGGCGUUAAGUUGCAGGGUAUAGACCCGAAACCCGGUGAUCUAGCCAUGGGCAGGUUGAAGGUUGGGUAACACUAACUGGAGGACCGAACCGACUAAUGUUGAAAAAUUAGCGGAUGACUUGUGGCUGGGGGUGAAAGGCCAAUCAAACCGGGAGAUAGCUGGUUCUCCCCGAAAGCUAUUUAGGUAGCGCCUCGUGAACUCAUCUUCGGGGGUAGAGCACUGUUUCGGCUAGGGGGUCAUCCCGACUUACCAACCCGAUGCAAACUACGAAUACCGAAGAAUGUUAUCACGGGAGACACACGGCGGGUGCUAACGUCCGUCGUGAAGAGGGAAACAACCCAGACCGCCAGCUAAGGUCCCAAAGUCAUGGUUAAGUGGGAAACGAUGUGGGAAGGCACAGACAGCCAGGAUGUUGGCUUAGAAGCAGCCAUCAUUUAAAGAAAGCGUAAUAGCUCACUGGUCGAGUCGGCCUGCGCGGAAGAUGUAACGGGGCUAAACCAUGCACCGAAGCUGCGGCAGCGACACGAUGUGUUGUUGGGUAGGGGAGCGUUCUGUAAGCCGUUGAAGGUGGCCUGUGAGGGUUGCUGGAGGUAUCAGAAGUGCGAAUGCUGACAUAAGUAACGAUAAAGCGGGUGAAAAGCCCGCUCGCCGGAAGACCAAGGGUUCCUGUCCAACGUUAAUCGGGGCAGGGUGAGUCGACCCCUAAGGCGAGGCCGAAAGGCGUAGUCGAUGGGAAACAGGUUAAUAUUCCUGUACUCGGUGUUACUGCGAAGGGGGGACGGAGAAGGCUAUGUCGGCCGGGCGACGGUUGUCCCGGUUUAAGCAUGUAGGCGGAGGUUCCAGGUAAAUCCGGUACCUUAUUAACGCUGAGGUGUGAUGACGAGGCACUACGGUGCUGAAGUGACAAAUGCCCUGCUUCCAGGAAAAGCCUCUAAGCAUCAGGUAACAUCAAAUCGUACCCCAAACCGACACAGGUGGUCAGGUAGAGAAUACCAAGGCGCUUGAGAGAACUCGGGUGAAGGAACUAGGCAAAAUGGUGCCGUAACUUCGGGAGAAGGCACGCUGAUGGUA